CCCAGACUCCUACGGGAGGCAGCAGUGGGGGAUAUUGCACAAUGGGGGGAACCCUGAUGCAGCGACGCCGCGUGGGUGAAGGAGUAUUUCGGUAUGUAAAGCCCUAUCGGCAGGGAAGAAGCAAGACGGUACCCGACUAAGAAGCCCCGGCUAACUACGUGCCAGCAGCCGCGGUAAUACGUAGGGGGCGAGCGUUAUCCGGAUUCACUGGGUGUAAAGGGAGCGUAGACGGCCAAGCAAGCCAGGGGUGAAAGCCCGGGGCCCAACCCCGGGACUGCCCUUGGAACUGCUUGGCUGGAGUGCGGGAGGGGCAGGCGGAAUUCCUGGUGUAGCGGUGAAAUGCGUAGAUAUCAGGAGGAACACCGGUGGCGAAGGCGGCCUGCUGGACUGCGACUGACGUUGAGGCCCGAAAGCGUGGGGAGCAAACAGGAUUAGAUACCCCCGUAC
rnacentral:rRNA from 1 species